ACGGGAGGCAGCAGUGAGGAAUAUUGGACAAUGGAUGGAAGUCUGAUCCAGCCAUGCCGCGUGAAGGAUGGAUGCCCUACGGGUUUUGAACUUCUUUUGUACGGGGGCAAUAAGGUCCACGUGUGGACCGAUGAGAGUACCGUACGAAUAAGCAUCGGCUAACUCCGUGCCAGCAGCCGCGGUAAUACGGAGGAUGAGAGCGUUAUCCGGAUUUAUUGGGUUUCAAGGGUGCGUAGGCGGCUUGCCAAGUCAGCGGUGAAAGCCGGGCGCCCAACGCCGGAACGUCCGUUGAAACUGGCGGGCUUGAAUGGUGCCGCCGCAUGCGGAAUGUGUGAAGUAGCUGUGAAAUGCAUAGAUAUCACACAGAACGCCGAUUGUGGAAACAGCAUGCGAGACACUGAUUGACGCUGAGGCACGAAGGUGCGGGGAUCGAACAGGAUUAGAUACCCUGGUA
rnacentral:rRNA from 1 species